GUGGCACCUGUAACACUUCAGAACCUUCUCCGAUCUAUCCUUGAAUUUACCUCUCUUCCUAGGUCUUCCUCGCCUCUCAUGAACAACGAAUGCUUUUGAAGUAGAGUCUCCCAUGCAGAUCUUCUCCCACUGCUCGUUUGAUCUCAGGGCACCCACAACCUCCUCAUACUCCAAGGACUUCUUGCUGUAUACCAAGGUUGUG
rnacentral:lncRNA from 1 species